UGGCUCAGGAUGAACGCUAGCUACAGGCUUAACACAUGCAAGUCGAGGGGCAGCGAGAGGAAAGCUUGCUUCCUGUCGGCGACCGGCGCACGGGUGAGUAACGCGUAUCCAACCUUCCCCAUAGUAGAGGAUAGCCCGGCGAAAGUCGGAUUAAUACUCUAUGUUGUGUCAUGAGGACAUCUGAAUAACACUAAAGAUUUAUCGCUAUGGGAUGGGGAUGCGUCUGAUUAGCUUGUCGGCGGGGUAACGGCCCACCGAGGCGACGAUCAGUAGGGGUUCUGAGAGGAAGGUCCCCCACAUUGGUACUGAGACACGGACCAAACUCCUACGGGAGGCAGCAGUGAGGAAUAUUGGUCAAUGGACGAGAGUCUGAACCAGCCAAGUAGCGUGCAGGAUGACUGCCCUAUGGGUUGUAAACUGCUUUUAUGCGGGAAUAAAGUCAGGUACGUGUACCUGUUUGUAUGUACCGCAUGAAUAAGGACCGGCUAAUUCCGUGCCAGCAGCAGC
rnacentral:rRNA from 1 species